UCCCUGCUGGCUCAGCGGUAAAGUAUCUGCCUGCAAUGCAGGAGACCCAGGUCCAGUCCCUGGGUCAGGAA
rnacentral:tRNA from 1 species